UACGUAGGGUGCAAGCGUUGUCCGGAAUUAUUGGGCGUAAAGAGCUCGUAGGUGGUCUGUUGCGUCGGCUGUGAAAUCCCGAGGCUCAACCUCGGGCCUGCAGCCGAUACGGGCAGACUAGAGUUCGGCAGGGGAGACUGGAAUUCUUGGUGUAGCAGUGAAAUGCGUAGAUAUCAAGAGGAACACCAGUGGCGAAGGCGAGUCCCUGGACGAUACCUGACACUGAGGCACGAAAGCUAGGGGAGCAAACAGG
rnacentral:rRNA from 1 species